rnacentral:rRNA from 1 species
AUUGAACGCUGGCGGCAGGCCUAACACAUGCCAGUCGAGCGGAUGAAGGGAGCUUGCUCCUGGAUUCAGCGGCGGACGGGUGAGUAAUGCCUAGGAAUCUGCCUGGUAGUGGGGGAUAACGUCCGGAAACGGGCGCUAAUACCGCAUACGUCCUGAGGGAGAAAGUGGGGAUCUUCGGACCUCACGCUAUCAGAUGAGCCUAGGUCGGAUUAGCUAGUUGGUGGGGUAAAGGCCUACCAAGGCGACGAUCCGUAACUGGUCUGAGAGGAUGAUCAGUCACACUGGAACUGAGACACGGUCCAGACUCCUACGGGAGGCAGCAGUGGGGAAUAUUGGACAAUGGGCGAAAGCCUGAUCCAGCCAUGCCGCGUGUGUGAAGAAGGUCUUCGGAUUGUAAAGCACUUUAAGUUGGGAGGAAGGGCAGUAAGUUAAUACCUUGCUGUUUUGACGUUACCAACAGAAUAAGCACCGGCUAACUUCGUG